GGAAGUUGGGUGGAAGCAGCGCGGACCCACGGCGCACCGAACGCACUCCAACAGAACCCGACGCAGACACGCGCUUUCAACCGGCGGAGACACUGGCAGGCUGAUCCAUAUGAAUUCCUCUUAUUAAGAAAAAUAAAGCAUCCAGGAUUCAAUGAAGAACUGACUAUCACCUUGUUAAUCAUUCAGAAACAUGUUGCAGGCUUAAGCCAUUUUUGAUAUAGAUACUGAAACAAUUACUUGCUAAGAGCAAACUUGAAGGUAUGGAUAAGGCCCUGAGUCAUCUUCCUGAGCUGAAUGAUAGUUAAGCUGAAUGACUGGACCUCACUGUGGGAACAACAAGAUCAACAAGAGGAGCAAGAACAACAUCAAGAGUCAGGGCCCGGGGGUCCUGACGGGUACAGGAUGGGUACAGACCCACACAGGAAUCCCAGAGUGUGUUCCACAGCAGGACACGCCUGCGCUGAAAGAGUGGGCAGAAAGGAGCUGACCUGGGAUUAUGAUCCAAACUCAGCUGGGCCUCCCCUACCUGCCCCAGGAUUGUGGAGUGAGAACGUUGCAGCAGGGGAGAACAACGCAGCAAAGCACAGCAGGGGAACCGGAAAUGCUCACCCUUUGACAGGGUACUUUUAGUUCUGGGGCCUUAUCUUAAGGAUAUUCCAACAUAUACAAAAAGAUUCAUGCACAGAGAUAUUUACUUUAGUAUUAUUUACCAUAGGAAAAAAGUUGGAAACAAUACAUUUUAUGUUCUGUAAAAUGAAAGAACAGUUAAAUAAAUCAUGGCUCUAAGACGACUCCAGGGCUGUGUACGGAAGUUCAGGGACUGAAUCAGUUGAGGCUGUUCCACCUGAGCCUAAGCUUCCUCUGCUGUAUGUCAGGAAUCAGGUGGGGGCCAAGCGAGAUCACCACAGUGCAGGCCAGUGUGCAGGGCACAGGUGGGCGCC
ensembl:lncRNA novel transcript